UACGUAGGGGGCAAGCGUUAUCCGGAUUUACUGGGUGUAAAGGGAGCGUAGACGGCACAGCAAGUCUGAUGUGAAAGCCCGGGGCCCAACCCCGGAACUGCAUUGGAAACUGCUGGGCUUGAGUGCAGGAGAGGUAAGCGGAAUUCCUAGUGUAGCGGUGAAAUGCGUAGAUAUUAGGAGGAACACCAGUGGCGAAGGCGGCUUACUGGACUGUAACUGACGUUGAGGCUCGAAAGCGUGGGGAGCAAACAGG
rnacentral:rRNA from 2 species